rnacentral:rRNA from 1 species
AUUGAACGCUGGCGGCAGGCCUAACCCAUGCAAGUCGAGCGAGCGGCGGACGGGUGAGUAAUGUAUGGGGACUGCCCGAUAGAGGGGGAUAACUACUGGAAACGGUGGCUAAUACCGCAUACUGUCUGAUAACCCAUAGGGGAUUAGCUAGUAGGUAAGGUAAUGGCUUACCUAGGCGACGAUCACUAGCUGGUCUGAGAGGAUGAUCAGCCACAUGGGGACUGGUACACGGCCCAGACUCCUACGGAGGCAGCAGUGGGGAAUAUUGCACAAUGGGCGCAAGCCUGAUGCAGCCAUGCCGCGUGUAUGAAGAAGGCCCUAGGGUUGUAAAGUACUUUCAGUCGGGAGGCGUUACCGACAGAAGAAGCACCGGCUAACUCCGUGCCAGCCGCCGCGGUAAUUC